UGGGGAAUAUUGGACAAUGGGCGCAAGCCUGAUCCAGCCAUGCCGCGUGAGUGAUGAAGGCCCUAGGGUUGUAAAGCUCUUUCACCGGUGAAGAUAAUGACGGUAACCGGAGAAGAAGCCCCGGCUAACUUCGUGCCAGCAGCCGCGGUAAUACGAAGGGGGCUAGCGUUGUUCGGAUUUACUGGGCGUAAAGCGCACGUAGGCGGACUUUUAAGUCAGGGGUGAAAUCCCGGGGCUCAACCCCGGAGCUGCCUUUGAUACUGGAAGUCUUGAGUAUGGUAGAGGUGAGUGGAAUUCCGAGUGUAGAGGUGAAAUUCGUAGAUAUUCGGAGGAACACCAGUGGCGAAGGCGGCUCACUGGACCAUUACUGACGCUGAGGUGCGAAAGCGUGGGGAGCAAACAGG
rnacentral:rRNA from 1 species